rnacentral:misc_RNA from 1 species
UGUGAGGGUUGGGUGUGUCGUACGCCGCCGCGGCCUGGAUGUAUCCAUUAUGUUUGACUUAACCAGAUAGCAUAUCUUUAGUGAACUAAUCUGUAAAAGAAGAGUUUCGGAAUUGAGUGAGCCAUCAAAAUGUCGAGAGAACCGCUCUGUAGACGUUGAAAAUCGGGAAAAAAAAGUUUGACCCCCAAAUCGGUAUAGGUUGGUUAUGUGCAUACUUGCCUACAGGGAAGCAGAGGUGGGAGUGCUAGUGUUUAUCUUCCUUUCUUGGGCGGGACACAACACGCUAAGAUGGACUGCAGGCGAGGAACGAGGCUCAUGCUGUGUCUGUGCGUCAUGUCCACGUUGAUCACGCAGAGCGUGAGUGCCGAGGUUGUGAUCCGCAUCCCGGCUGAGCGGGUACGGGACCAGGACGGGUACUACCGCCUCGACUACUGGCCGCCGCAGGGUAACCCGCCCCCGAACUCCACCUUCACCCCAACCCAGGUGUCUGAGGGCGUCCAGCUCACCAGGGCCCUCCCUGGCACCAAGUACGAGUUCCAGCUCUACUACACUAAUGCCACUAUUAACGACUACCCCACCUGGACCGCCUCCAUCACCACAGUGCCGCCGCCUCCCAGCAACCUGACUAUCCAGGUACGAUCAGGGAAGAGUGCUCUGGUGAGCUGGGACCCGCCCAUCAUCGGCGGCUACUCGACGUUCAAGCUCAAGGUGAUCCCGCUGUCGGAGCCCCAGAACAGCAACAAGAAUGUGUUCAUCUCGGAGGCGCAGCUGCCGUUCAACCUCCGGGAGCUGACCCCCGGCGCCUCCUACGAGCUCCAGCUCUACACCGUCUAUGAAAACAAAGAAAGUGCUGCCUACAUCUCCUCCAACUUCACCACCCGUCCGAAUGCUCCGGGGCGGUUCAUCGUGUGGUACAGGAACGAGACGACCAUGUUAGUGUUGUGGCAGCCGCCCUACCCUGCUGGCAUAUACUCUCACUACCGGGUGAGCAUUGAGCCGAGCGACGCGGCCGAGAGCGUGCUGAAGGUGCCGAAGGUGGGCGAGCCGCCAGGACCCGCCCAGGCCGCCUUCCUCGACCUUGUGCCCGGUCGGGCGUACAACAUCACGGUGGAGACGGUGAGCCAGGAGCAGAUCUCUGUGCCCACCACGGCACAGUACCGCACCAUCCCCCUCUCCCCGAGGAACAUCACCUUCGACGCCAAGACCCUCACCUCAAACUCCUUCACCGUCCGCUGGGAGGCUCCCAAGGGCAAAGGGGAGUUUGACAGAUACCAGCUGAGUCUGGGGGUGAAGAAGCAGUCUCCUCUCAUUAUCAAUGCCGAGGAGCCGAGGGAGGCUACCUUCGAUACCAACCUCGAACCUGGACGAACCUACACUGUCCUCAUCAAGACGGUGUCUGGAAAUGUCGCUUCCUGGCCCACCACUGGCAAUGUUACCACAAGGCCACUGGGUGUUCUGGAGCUGGCAGCCAUAGAGGGUGAAGACACACGAGAGGUGAAGUUGUCAUGGGCCCCAGAUGCAGCCUCCACCCAGGACCGCUACAAGGUAGUGUAUCAAGAGGUGGAAACAUACAAUGGUGAUUCCCGCACCAGGAUAGUGACAGAAGCACACACUGUAGAGGAACUCUAUCCAGGCAGAAAUUAUUCCAUCUCUGUUGCUGCUCUCUCAAAUGCCAUCGAGAGUGAUCCUGCCUCGCAAAUAUAUAUUAUCACUAAACCAGCAUCUCCCAUUAUUGAAGAAUUACAACCAAUACCUCGUGGACUCAACAUCUCGUGGAAAAGUGAUGUGACCUCCAGGCAGGAAAAAUAUGCUGUUGUGUAUGUUCGGAAUGAUACAGCUGAAUCAGUAACUCGUCAAACAGUUGAUGCUCAUGUGCUUUUGGAGGACUUAUUUCCUGGUGCUGGUUAUGAAAUUAAGGUGUAUGCAAUAUCACAUGGUCUUUGGAGUGAGCCUCACGUAUACUUCCAAGCAGUGUAUCCAAAUUCUGUACGUAACCUGACAAUAAUAGACACCACAAAUACCACCGUGAGCUUGGCAUGGCGUGCACCUAUAGAAUCACUCUUUACACAUUACAUUGUCAGAUAUCGAACUGUUGAGAUAUCAGCUUGGACCGAUCUGCCAGCCAUUAACAGAACUCUAGCUAUUGUUGACAACUUACAACCUGGUGAACGUUACGUAAUCCAGGUUCGAUCUGUCUCACAUCAUGUAGAAAGUUUUACACCCCAAGAAGUUGAACAAACUGUUCCUCCUAAUCCUGUGAGGGGUAUUGAACACCAUCUUGACUCACAGAAUAUCACCUUUGAGUGGCCAAGACCAGAGGGCAGGAUCGACAUGUACACAAUUGUGUGGUGGAAUGAACGUACACCAGAAAGAAAGAAAUCCAAAGAAAUACCCGGUGAUCAAGCAACAGAAGGCAUAAAUCGCAAACUGACGGUAUUGAUUGGCGAGCUGAUGCCUGGAGAACUCUACAGCUUCCAGAUUUAUACCACUGCUCAUGGGGUCAACAGUGAAAAUGUUUCUCUCUCCAGUAGAACAAGACCAGUAAUCACAUCGGAUAUAACUAUUGUCAAUCAACUUGACACCCAAUCCUUCACGCUGCGCUACACACCAACGCCUACAGCUGUGGCCACUUUUGACACAUACAGAUUCAUGCUGUCUGAUCCAGCUAUACCUGUUAAGGAAAAACUAGCUACUGAUGAUGACAGGAAGAUUAUUUUUGAAAAGCUUGUGCCUGGUCGGUUGUACAACAUCACAGCCUGGACAGUGUCAGGUGGUGUGACAAGCCAGCCUCUCAUACGCCAGGAUCGCCUCUAUCCAGAACCUGUCACAGACAUCAAUGUCACUUCCAUAUCCGACACAGAAAUUUCUCUUGCAUGGACAAAACCAAAAGGAGAUUAUGAUUCAUUUGAGGUUCAAUACUUGACUGAGGAUGAGCUGAUCACUAACCGUACCAGCUACGAUUCCAUUACUAUCUCACGCCUUCGUCCCCACCGUAACUACACAUUCACUGUACUCACACGUGCUGGCAGCUUAGAACAUAUCAUCAUGAGGCAGUCCAAACCUGUGUCAGCCACAUUUAGCACCAGAGAAAGCACUCCUGGAAAGGUGGCACUAUUCAACGCAGCUCUAAUAAAACCAAACCAGAUUACUUUAAAUUGGUCAUUGCCUCUAGAUGAACAGAAUGGAAUUAUCUUAGGGUUCACCAUCAAAUAUGGAAUAAAGGGUUCCCCAUCUACCAAUGUCCGACAAUUUAGUCCUGAUGAAUUGGAAGGGACCAUUACAAAUCUUUUUCCUGGACAAACUUAUUUAUUUGAAAUUGAAGCAAGAACAGUAAUUGGCUCAGGGCGUGUUAAAAGCCUGGAGGAGACUAUGCCAAUCUGGGCCCCACCCGAUCCCAGUCAUCAAGUCUUUCCUACUGAGGUGUCACGUACUUCUUCCACUAUUCGCAUCCGGUAUCGUAAGAAUUACUUUUCCAAUGAGAAUGGACAAGUUACUGAAUAUAGUAUUAUUGUAGCUGAGGAUGAUUCCAAAAUCUCAAGAGGGUUGGAAAUGCCAGUAUGGCAAGAUGUACAGAGCUAUUCUGUUUGGCCACCAUACCAGGUGACAGAGCCAUACUAUCCCUUCAACACCUCAUCUGUAGAAGAUUUUGAUAUUGGCACCGAGAAGGACUGUAUGAUGCGGAUUGGAUACUGUAAUGGAGAACUCAAGCCAGGAACUACUUAUAGGGUCAAAAUUCGGGCCUACACAGCUAGGGACAAAUUUGCCGAUACCUACUUCAGCCACCCAAUAACUACUGAAUUUGAAAGUCGAAAUGUGGGUUUGUCUGUGGCUGUGCCAGUGUUGGUGCUGGUGUUAGUGGUUGUGGUGGUCAUCAUCAUGAGGCGUCGACGAGUUUGUCUCUUUCCUAAGAAGACCAUGGACCCUAACAGAAAGGAUGGAGAUAUGCACUCGCUUCCAGAUUCUCUAAUUGAAACAAGCCGCCCUGUGAAACUGAAGGACUUUGCAGCACAUUAUAGGUUUAUGGCAGCUGACUCAGAAUAUCACUUUUCUGAAGAAUAUGAAGCACUCAAACAUGUUGGACAUGACCUUCAGCGUAACGCUGCUGAUUUGCCUGUCAAUCGACCUAAAAACCGCUUUACCAAUAUUCUUCCUUAUGACCAUUCUCGCUUCAAACUACAGCCCACUGACGAUGAAGAAGGCACUGAUUAUAUCAAUGCAAAUUAUGUACCAGGAUAUAAUUCACCAAGAGAAUUUAUAGUGACGCAAGGUCCUUUGCCAUCAACACGGGAUGACUUCUGGAGAAUGUGUUGGGAAAGCAACUCGCGUGCCAUAGUAAUGCUUACACGAUGUAUUGAAAAGGGUCGUGAAAAGUGUGACCAUUAUUGGCCAUAUGAUACUCAGCCUGUGUAUUAUGGAGACAUUCAAGUAACCAUCCUGAAUGAAAGCCAGUUCCCAGAUUGGAAUAUAUCGGAGUUCAGAGUCUGCAAGGGAGAUAUAUGCCGUGUUGUGCGCCAUUUCCACUUCACAACCUGGCCAGAUUUUGGUGUUCCAGAGCCACCACAAACACUAGUUAGAUUUGUUAGAUCAUUUCGGGAGCGGGUUGGCCCAGAUCAAAAACCCAUUGUUGUGCACUGCAGUGCUGGUGUGGGUCGCUCAGGAACUUUCAUUGCUUUGGACCGUAUUUUAUUUAGCCUUCGCACCUGUGAUUAUGUGGACAUAUUUGGUAUUGUGUAUGAAAUGCGAAGAGAACGGGUAUGGAUGGUACAAACCGAGCAACAAUAUAUAUGCAUACAUCAAUGCCUUUUAGCUGUGCUAGAAGGAAGAGAAAAUGAGCAUUCCAUCACUGAAAUUCAUGAUAAUCAAGGAUUUGAAGCAUAGAGCUCAAUGGAAUGGUGAUGUGUGGAGUUGCAACAAAGCAAAGAUGAUACUCUUUUCCUCUGCUGCUGCCAUAUCUGGAUGAUGAGGGGAUAGCAGAAUCGGGCAU